UCUUGUCACUCUUUACUAAUAACAGCUCAACAAAAAUGUUUGUGAGGUGUUGAAAAUCAAAAGGAGUCUUUGUGCUCCGUAUCAUCCACAAACCAAUGGUUUAGUGGAAAGGAUGAAUGCAACCAUACAGAGCACUUUGUAAACUGGUCGGAAACAACCCCAAGGAAUGGGAUAUGCAUCUCGAUGCUGUGAUGUUUGGCCUAAGGACCAAAAAACAAAUGACCACAAAUUUCUCACCAUUCUAUAUGAUGUUUGGAAGAGAGGCGCGAUAUCCAUCACUGAUCCCAGAGCAGUACCAGAUUGACAGCAGUGUCGAGGACACUGUGGCCAAAGACAACCUGACCGACUCUACCCUCAAUAUCGGCAAAAUUCUCUCGUGUGCUGAGGGGAACACCAAGAAAGCACAAGAGAAAAUGAAGAGGAUGUCCCCAAAAUCAUCGAUUCAGAAAUUCAAUGUUGGUGACAUGGUAUGGAGGUUGAAC